AGAGGUAUCGUCUAGUGGUAGGGCUCUGGCUUCCAAACCCAGAAGCGGGGGUUCGAUUCCUCCUACCUCUGCCA
rnacentral:tRNA from 1 species